rnacentral:siRNA from 1 species
AUCAAAAGAUCUGGCAUGCCU